ACACUGUCGAUGACGAGCGCAGCCAACUGUGUGAAUUAAUGUGAACUGCAUACUGCUUUGAACAUCGACAUCUUGAACGCAUAUUGCGGCCACGGGUUUUCCUGUGGCCACGCCUGUCCGAGGGUCGGCUUAUAAACUAUCACGACGCCCAAAAAGUCGUGGCUUGGAAUCUGCCAGCUGGCGUGAUUUCCUCUGUGGUUCGCCACGUGAGGUGCCAGAUCUAUGGCGUUUUCCUAAUGUCUCCGGACACAACCGCGUCUUGCUGGUAGCGCAGACGAGGGUGUGGCGGUAGAGUCGUGCUCAAUGUAAUGUAUGUGGUAUCACGCUCUUCUGUUGUGCCUUUGUUAGUCAACUAAUUGGAGAGGCUAUUGGAAAGGGGGGACGAAAAUCUCCCACUAAAGGGGCCAUUUUCAAGGGCUUAUUGCAUUCCAGAUAAAUUCCCUCUGUUGUUGCCCUCUUUAACGACAGAGGGACAGGAUGACCCCCGGCACACA
rnacentral:rRNA from 1 species